UUUAAUCAUUUCUCAUGAUCUGUAGAUAUAUUAAAAGGAAUUCUUAAGUAGAUGACUUUAUGCCUAUAGAAUUUAAUCAUAACUCCCAGCAAAAUUAUUCUCUUAUUCUCCUUAGCAUUGAAGACUGACUUUCAGUGGGGCAGGUGAAGCAAAGCAAGUAACAGAUAGGAAAUGAUAAUCAGACUUGAAGACUGUAUUAUGGCAUUAAUAUUUUAUCAGGAACCACUGAAGAGUUUUGAACAGGACACAUCUUGCUAAUGGAUGCAGAAGAUCAAUUGAGAUAAAGCACAGAUGCUCAGAGACACAGUACA
rnacentral:lncRNA from 12 species